rnacentral:rRNA from 1 species
UCUCUUGGUUCUGGCAUCGAUGAAGAACGCAGCGAAAUGCGAUAAGUAAUGUGAAUUGCAGAAUUCAGUGAAUCAUCGAAUCUUUGAACGCACAUUGCGCCCGCCAGUACUCUGGCGGGCAUGCCUGUCCGAGCGUCAUUACAACCCUCAAGCCCCAGCGGCUUGGUGUUGGGCGUCGGCCGUCCUCUGCGGCGGCCGUGCCCCAAAUACAGUGGCGGACUCGCUGUUGCCUCCUCUGCGUAGUAAUUACACCUCGCACCGGAUAGACACGAAGUCCACGCCGUAAAACAACCCAAUUUCUGAAUGUUGACCUCGGAUCAGGUAGGAAUACCCGCUGAACUUAAGCAUAUCAAUAAGCGGAGGAAAAGAAACCAACAGGGAUUGCCCUAGUAACGGCGAGUGAAGCGGCAACAGCUCAAAUUUGAAAUCUGGCUCUCGGGCCCGAGUUGUAAUUUGUAGAGGAUGCUUUUGGUGAGGUGCCUUCCGAGUUCCCUGGAACGGGACGCCAUAGAGGGUGAGAGCCCCGUCUGGUUGGACACCGAGCCUCUGUAAAGCUCCUUCGACGAGUCGAGUAGUUUGGGAAUGCUGCUCUAAAUGGGAGGUAUAUGUCUUCUAAAGCUAAAUACUGGCCAGAGACCGAUAGCGCACAAGUAGAGUGAUCGAAAGAUGAAAAGCACUUUGAAAAGAGAGUUAAAAAGCACGUGAAAUUGUUGAAAGGGAAGCGCUUAUGACCAGACUUGGGCUUGGUUGAUCAUCCGGCGUUCUCGCCGGUGCACUCUUCCAGUUCAGGCCAGCAUCAGUUUGCUUCGGGGGAUAAAAGUUUCGGGAAUGUGGCUCCUCCGGGAGUGUUAUAGCCCGUUGCAUAAUACCCUGAGGC